CCCCACACUCCACUCCCGCCAAAUCUCCAGCCAGAUCGAACGACCUAACGAACGAACACUACACUCAGCCAGAUGGACUCCCUCACCGCCGUAAUGACGACGGACAUCAAGCAGGAGGAGCCCGAGAUGGUGGUGCUGGACGACGACGACGGCGACGACUGCUGCCUGCGCGCGCCGACGCCGUUGGACCUGGCGGCGGCCGCGGCGGUGGCGCCGUUCCUGGCCAAGACGUUCGACAUGGUGGAGGACCCGGCGACGGACGCGGUGGUGUCGUGGGGCGCGGCGCGGAACAGCUUCGUGGUGUGGGAUCCCCACGCCUUCGCCGCCCGCCUCCUCCCGCUCCACUUCAAGCACGCCAACUUCUCCAGCUUCCUCCGCCAGCUCAAUACCUAUGGAUUCCGCAAGGUGAACCCGGACAGGUGGGAGUUCGCCAACGCGGGCUUCCUCGGCGGGCAGCGCCACCUCCUGGCCGGCAUCCGCCGCCGCCGCGGCGCCGACACCGGCCGCCGGCCCGCGGCCUCGUCGUCUGCGUCCUCGUGCGCGGCGGAGGCCGGCGUCAUCGGCGUCGUGGACGGGGAGCUGGAGCGGCUGCGGCGGGACCGGGAGGCGCUGAAGCAGGAGCUGGCGCGGCUCAGGGUGCAGCAGGAGGCGUCGCGCGCCACGCUGCUGGACAUGGAGCGCCGCGUGCUGGGCACCGAGCGCCGGCAGGAGCAGUGCAAGGCCUUCCUCGUGCGCGCGAUCAGGAACCCGAGUUUUCUCACCAGCCUGGCACGCCGCAACGCACUCGCCGCCGGCGACGCGGUGCCCGUCGUCAAGGGCAAGAACAAGCGGCGGCUGCUCGACGACAUCCCGUCGCCGCCGCCGCCGGCGACGGACGAUGGUUUCACCUUCGAGGAGCUUGCACUGGCGGCCGGUGUCGCCGUCGAGGCGGGCGUCCCGGCCGUGAAAACUGAGAGCGCGGGCGGCAUAACGACGGACAUGAUUUGGUACGAGCUGCUCGGGGACGAGCAGGCGGAGAUGGACGUCGAGGUGGAAGACCUCGUCAGCGCCGCCGCCGCCGCCGCGGAGGAGAUGGAGCCGUGGGAGGGGAUGGGCGAGGAGGAGGUGCAGGAUCUGAUGCUGCAGAUUGAUUGCUUGGCCGGCUCGCCCAGUUCUUGAUCAUCAGCUCAGCACAACUCACUAGUAUUACUGUCUUAGUAGUAGUAGCAGGGCACAGUAGCUUUGAGAUUUGAUUGUGAUUACUAUGUGUGUGUGCAUUGCCUUGCUAAUUCGGAUUCUGCGUGUGUUCGUGCAGGAUCCGGAUGAUGGUAUCUGUCAGGAUGCGAGCUGUGGAAGGGUGUGAGAGCGACUGUGCUCCAGAAGUUCAGGAUUACCAAGAUGAAAGGGUGCAGAAGUGCAGACCCCCUAGUGAAAGAGAACAGUGUGUCCACUUGUGGUGUCAUCGCAAGGCUACCCCUUUUCAUCUUCAGGAGGGCAGAAACGCAAAGGCGAUUUCCUCGAUUAGUGACAACCAAAUUGCUUCCCCUCAUUAGCAUGGAUAACAACUGUGGGCACCAGUGUCACCAAACAUGCUGCUUUGUUUCUUCAACAUGCUCACUGACUACAUCUAUAUGGAAAAUCCUCUUGAUUC